UACGUAGGGUGCAAGCGUUAAUCGGAAUUACUGGGCGUAAAGCGUGCGCAGGCGGUGAUGUAAGACAGAUGUGAAAUCCCCGGGCUCAACCUGGGAAUGGCGAUGGAGACUGCGAGGCUAGAGUUUGGCAGAGGGGGGUAGAAUUCCACGUGUAGCAGUGAAAUGCGUAGAGAUGUGGAGGAACACCGGCGGCGAAGGCGGCACUCUGGGCCGGUACUGACGCUGAGGAGCGAAAGCGUGGGUAGCAAACAGG
rnacentral:rRNA from 1 species